rnacentral:rRNA from 1 species
CUGGCGGCAGGCCUAACACAUGCAAGUCGAGCGCUACCUUCGGGUGGAGCGGCGGACGGGUUAGUAACGCGUGGGAACGUACCCAGAUCUAAGGAAUAGCCACUGGAAACGGUGAGUAAUACCUUAUACGCCCUUCGGGGGAAAGAUUUAUCGGAUUUGGAUCGGCCCGCGUUAGAUUAGAUAGUUGGUGGGGUAAUGGCCUACCAAGUCUACGAUCUAUAGCUGGUUUGAGAGGAUGAUCAGCCACACUGGGACUGAGACACGGCCCAGACUCCUACGGGAGGCAGCAGUAGGGAAUCUUAGACAAUGGGGGCAACCCUGAUCUAGCCAUGCCGCGUGUGUGAUGAAGGCCCUAGGGUCGUAAAGCACUUUCGCCAGAGAUGAUAAUGACAGUAUCUGGUAAAGAAACCCCGGCUAACUCCGUGCCAGCAGCCGCGGUAAUACGGAGGGGGUUAGCGUUGUUCGGAAUUACUGGGCGUAAAGCGCACGUAGGCGGAUUAGUAAGUUAGAGGUGAAAUCCCAGGGCUCAACCCUGGAACUGCCUUUAAUACUGCUAGUCUUGAGUUCGAGAGAGGUAAGUGGAAUUCCGAGUGUAGAGGUGAAAUUCGUAGAUAUUCGGAGGAACACCAGUGGCGAAGGCGGCUUACUGGCUCGAUACUGACGCUGAGGUGCGAAAGUGUGGGGAGCAAACAGGAUUAGAUACCCUGGUAGUCCACACCGUAAACGAUGAAUGC